GGUCAUGAGGGUGCUCCUCAGUGUUACAGAGUAUAAUAUCCUGAAUGCUUAGUAUUUCCACACAGCCAUGUUAAAUCAGUGAAUACUUGGAAGUUAUCUUCUGUAGAACACUCCUGACUCCAGCCCUGGCAUUGUUGAGGCUAUAGAUGACUGGUAACAUGCUAAAGAGUUUCCUCAUAGACCUCCCAGAAGAGAGCAUCUCUGAUCUGCUUGGUGGGCUUUACAUGUUGUCUCCAUGUAGAGAUUCUCCAGAUCAUUACACAGGUUAGCUCUCCCCCUGCUUGCCCACUAGUCACAGGAUUCAAACAAUGAGCUUCAAAUUACGCUGAGAAUAAAUGGAGAUAAACAGCAAGCCCAAGGAGACAAAUAAGACGAACACCUUGAAGAAGAGCCGGUCAGAAUGGGGAAAAAGGUUUUGAAAAUAUUGGCAGGAUAUGGCGUUGGGUAACUACCUGCACCCUGGUCUGGUUCUUCCUCAUUUG